AAGACCUUCACCCUGGCGCCUGAGAGGACCUCACCCAGGGUGGCCCGUCAGCAGCACCUGGGCCUGGCUCGAGAGUGACCUGGGAGGGGGCUGAAAGGCUCUUCCUGCAGACUCUUUUUUCCCGAGGAUCCUGUUAAGAUUGUCCGGGCCCAAGGGCAGUACAUGUACGAUGAACAGGGGGCAGAAUACAUCGAUUGCAUCAGCAAUGUGGCACACGUUGGGCACUGCCACCCUCUCGUGGUCCAAGCAGCACAUGAGCAGAACCAGGUGCUCAACACCAACAGCCGGUACCUGCAUGACAACAUCGUGGACUAUGCGCAGAGGCUGUCAGAGACCCUGCCGGAGCAGCUCUGUGUGUUCUAUUUCCUGAAUUCUGGUUUUGUGAGCCACUCGAGCAAAUUGAACCUACAG
rnacentral:lncRNA from 1 species